AUUGAACGCUGGCGGCAGGCCUAACACAUGCAAGUCGAGCUAGCGGCUGACGGGUGAGUAAUGUCUCGGAAACUGCCUGCUGGAGGGGGAUAACCUCUGGAAACGAUAGCUACUACCGCAUACCAUCAGCUGUGCCCAGAUGGGCUUAGCCAGUAGGUGGGGUAAUGGCUCACCUAGGGGACGAUCCCUAGCUGGUCUGCGAGGUUGACCAGCCACACUGGAACUGAGACGCGGUCCAGACUCCUACGGGAGGCAGCAGUGGGGAAUAUUGCACAAUGGGCGAAAGCCGGAUGCAGCCAGGACGCGGGUGUGAAGAAGGCCUUCGGGUUGUAAAGCACUUUCAGCGAGGAGGAGUUACUCGCAGAAGAAGCACCGGCUAACUCCGUGCCAGCAGCCGCGGUAAUUC
rnacentral:rRNA from 1 species